UACGAAGGUGGCAAGCGUUGUUCGGAUUUACUGGGCGUACAGGGAGCGUAGGCGGUUGGAUAAGCCCUCCGUGAAAUCUCCAGGCUUAACCUGGAAAGUGCAGAGGGGACUGUUCAGCUAGAGGAUGGGAGAGGAGCGCGGAAUUCCCGGUGUAGCGGUGAAAUGCGUAGAGAUCGGGAGGAAGGCCGGUGGCGAAGGCGGCGCUCUGGAACAUUUCUGGACGCUGAGGUGCGAAAGCGUGGGGAGCAAACAGGGAUUAAGAUACC
rnacentral:rRNA from 1 species